GGCUGUAGCUCAGUUGGAUAGAGUGUUUGACUACGAAUCAAAAGGUCGGGGGUUCGAAUCCCUUCAGCC
rnacentral:tRNA from 2 species